rnacentral:rRNA from 1 species
GAUGAACGCUGGCGGCGUGCCUAAUACAUGCAAGUCGAGCGAGUGGGGACGGGUGAGUAACACGUGGGUAACCUCCCAUCAGAGGGGAUAACACUUGGAAACAGGUGCUAAACCGAUACUGAUGGAUGGACCCGCGGGUCAUUAGCUCAUUGGUGAGGUAACGGCUCACCAAGGCCACGAUGCAUAGCCGACGUGAGAGAGUGAUCGGCCAAACUGGGACUGAGACACGGCCCAGACUCCUACGGAAGGCAGCAGUAGGGAAUCUUCGGCAAUGGACGAAAGUCUGACCGAGCAACGCCGCGUGAGUGAAGAAGGUUUUCGGAUCGUAAAACUCUGUGGUUAGAGAAGCGGUAUCUAACCAGAAAGCCACGGCUAACUACGAGCCAGCAGCCGCGGUAAUUC